rnacentral:rRNA from 1 species
UACGGAGGGUGCAAGCGUUAUCCGGAUUCACUGGGUUUAAAGGGUGCGUAGGCGGUCGGGUAAGUCUGAUGUGAAAUCUCACAGCUUAACUGUGAAACUGCAUUGGAUACUAUUCGGCUUGAGAGUUGGAGGGGGGACUGGAAUUCUUGGUGUAGCAGUGAAAUGCGUAGAUAUCAAGUGGAACACCAGUGGCGAAGGCGAGUCUCUGGACAUUUCCUGACGCUGAGGCACGAAAGCCAGGGGAGCAAACGGG